AGGGUUUGUUUUUGCAAGUUUUUUGCACAUUACGUUAAGCAAGCCUGUUUGUGUGUGACCACUAGAGUCAGACUCCUUUGGCUCUCUCCUGGUACCUGAUGGAAGGGUAAAUAAUAAGGCAGCACUGUGUUGUGGAUUCAAACCGAGACUCCAGCUCUUAACAACAAUUGAAAGCCCCCACGGGUGUGUAAAGAAAUCAGAGACAACAGCACAUCAAUUAUGAAGCCCUGUACUCUAUCUACUGCUGGCAAAAGAAAAGGUUAAUUAUCUAAAAGUAAAGCAACUUUAUGCUGGUGUAGGAGGGUGAACUGGAAGGAGAGCUGUUGAACAAACAAGAUAAGGUUGUGAUCUACAACGUAAGAAGACGGAAGCUGAAUAAGAAAAUGUCCAGAAUAACCUGUCACCCACAGGCAAAUUGCAUGGCUGAAAACUCUUGACUAAAAUAAAUGGACUACGUCAUGUCUUUUAAUAAGCCUU
rnacentral:lncRNA from 1 species